rnacentral:rRNA from 1 species
AGUGAACGCUGGCGGCGUGCCUAAUACAUGCAAGUCGAACGAAGUGGCGCACGGGUGAGUAAUAUAUAGUUAAUCAGCCCUACACAGAGGAACAACAGUUGGAAACGACUGCUAAUACCUCAUAGUGUAGGAUGAGACUAUAUCGUAUCAGCUAGUUGGUAAGGUAAUGGCUUACCAAGGCUAUGACGCGUAACUGGUCUGAGAGGAUGAUCAGUAACAUUGUAACUGAGACACGAUCCGAACUCCUACGGGAGGCGGCAGUAAGGAAUAAUGCGCAAUCGGGGAAACCCUAACGCAGCAACGCCGCGUGGAGGAUGACACUUGUCGAAGCGUAAACUCCUUUUAUCAGGAAAGCGUUACCUGCUGAAUAAGCACCGGCUAACUACGUGCCAGCCGCCGCGGUAAUUC